UGAGAUCAGUAAUUGGCCACUGGGAACUAUAAAUUAUAGUUCUCACGCUCUCUGUUUUAUGUUUUCUUUCAGAGCCUUCCACGCCGGGAGAGGCUAGGGACCGUGGGAAGGGCAUUGCUUCGAGCUAGCUCUUCAGCGAGGGACGAGUUGAUAGGUGGUCUACCUCUCGAUGUAUUUAUUUUGGAGAGGUUGAGAGCUAUACCAGUGUAUUAG
rnacentral:lncRNA from 1 species